rnacentral:rRNA from 1 species
UACGAAGGGUGCAAACGUUGCUCGGAAUUAUUGGGCGUAAAGCGCACGUAGGCGGCUUAGCAAGUCGGAAGUGAAAUCCCUCGGCUCAACCAAGGAAGUGCUUUCGAAACUGCUGAGCUUGAGUACUUAAGAGGAUCGCGGAAUUCCCGGUGUAGAGGUGAAAUUCGUAGAUAUCAGGAGGAACACCAGUGGCGAAGGCGGCUUUCUGGACGAUAACUGACGCUGAGACGCGAAAGCGUGGGGAGCAAACAGG